AUUUUUGUAUUUUUACUAGAGACAGGGUUUCUCCGUGUUGGUCAGGCUGGUCUCAAACUCCUGAUCUCAGGUGAUCCACCCGUCUAGGCCUCCCACAGUGCUGGGAUUACAGGCGUGAGCCACCGCACCUGGCCUUCGAACUCUUGAGCUCAGGCAAUCUGCCUGCCUCAGCCUCCCAAAGUGCUAGGAUUACAGGCGUGAGUCACCAUGCCCGGCUGGUCAUUGAGUUUUUAAUUUGUAGAAUACAUGCCAAAAAGUUCUUUUGAUUCCAGGAGAUUGAAUUCUCUCAUCAUUCACCUCUCUGUGGACAGACAAGCUAGACAUCUAUUUGUAUUUAGUAGGUGAUAAUGACCCCUUGGUAAGUGUUACAUCUAGUUACCAUCCCGUGUGAGACACUCAAGUGAGUGGGGUAUGGGGAGAAGCAUGGAAGCAGGACCUUCCUAGGGAGAAGCAAAUCACAGCUGUAAGGAGGGUAGAGACCAGAGGUUUUCCAGCCCAUCCCCACCCUUCUGAGGUCAUUGUCCUGUGUCUUCAGGCAGCAACUCUCAGAUAUUUGCUGUGUUCUUCAUUCGUUACCUUCUAGGCUACGGUUGCCACAGUGUGGUAUAUGUUUAGGGGUUUUCUUCUGGCCUUGGAGACUUUCAGGAGCAUCUGUGGUUUGCUGAGGAGUUAGGUUCACCUUGUUUUGAGCUGUGAAGUGUUGUCCACAAAUAUCUGGCUGGUUGUACAGGGUUGACUUGCAGUGAGAGGCAGUUAUUACCUAUGAGAGAUGGUCAAGGUCAUUUCACAGGGCCCAGAGCAUCAGGGUUGGAAGCAGUUCCUUCUCCAGAUUUCCUCCCAGACUCGGGCUUUGGCCGGAGUGAAGGUAUUGGUAUAGAGUCCACUGCUGGCCUGGCUACCACCGCUCCAGCUAAAUGAAAAAGCACUUGGAACAGAAAGGAGUCUUUGAUGGGGAUGGCAACACAUCCUCCAGGGUUUGAAGGAACAGUUGGGAUAUAAGCUAAGCCCAUCACCUCUGCUGGCAGAGAUCAGAGCACAGCACUUGUGACCCUGAAGGACAAGUCCUAUUUAAACUUUUAGGAUCACCGGCCAUGGUGAGUUCACAAAGAGCUUUGAGAGUUCUUUA
rnacentral:lncRNA from 1 species